rnacentral:lncRNA from 1 species
AUGUGUAUUAAUCCACCACCAUAUGCGCCGCCACCUCCCACAUCUGCAGCCACAGCUGCAGCGUCUCCCACAUCUGCAGCCACAGCCGCAGCAUCUCCCACAUCUGCAGCCACAGCUGCAGCACCACCCAUUAAACACUCACCCAUAUCAGGAAGAACUAGGUCACAUACACAACAUCCUUAUGUGAAAGCACAAAUAAUGCUAAACAAACUUUCACUCAAAGAUAGCCCACAAGAAGAAAUAGGAGACACAGUCGAUCCACCAGCCACUGGUAUCUACCCAUUGGUAGCAGUGGCUAACCCUAGAUUUGGCCUAAUAAUAGGGCCAGAAGGACAGGAGGAGCAAGAUGACCGCCCACACAUACAUGUUUUUCGUCCGUGGUCACAGACGGACAGACAAAAUGUCCUGAAAGACGUUCCUCCACUGAAUGAAGGUUUUACACCAUGGAGGGAUGCUGUAGAACUGAUCAGGAGGCAAUGGUAUUUAAACGGUCAUGAAAUGCUUCAAGUACUGCAAGAUUUAUUAGGUUUAAGGAUGGGAACAGUUAGAGGGGAUUAUACCGGCUCAAACGCCGGGGGUGUAGCACAUGCACCAGGAAGCACCGACCUAAUCAAUGACCUAACAAAUUUAUAUGAGAGAAUUAGAGUACGGUUGGCCCCGAGGGCUGACUAUGGCAAAAUAGGGGAGGUAAAGCAAAAAGAAGCCGAAACAGCUUCUGAUUUUCUGGACCGGCUGCGCCCGGUUUUUAGACAGCAUUCAGGCCUAGAUUAUGAAGAAGCCCCAGAGAGACCAUACCAACAGCAACUAAAGAACGCAUUCUUAAACGGUCUCCUUCCCCCAGUUAGAGCCCACGUUGAAAAACACUGGGUAACAAUGAACACUGGUAACCUAGCAGACGCUCUGCAGUAUGCAGAACAUGCAACCCGAGUGGUAAAAAAGAAAGAGAAAGGAGGUGUUUUCACUGUGGAUCCCGAGACAGGAUUCAUAGCAUUUGCUGGUGGAUACAGAGGACAGAGACAAGGACAGCAGAGGGGAAAGGGAAAGACAAGUUAUAAAGGUUAUAAGGGAGACAAGGGACGAAGGGGUGAGAGAGACAAUCGCUGUUAUAUUUGUGGAAAAGAAGGUCAUUUUGCAAGGGACUGUAGGUACAAAAAGGAGGAUGACUCAGGAGAGGGUCAGAGUAAGUGA